GGAAACAUCACAUGUGGUGGCAGAUAAGCCUGUUGAGAAGCAACCUGCUUCACGUCGCCGCAGAAAGAAAACAUCUGGUAGUGAGGAUACUGGAGUCAGCACUAGACAAAGAUCGGCUAUGAAAAAAUCUUGUUACAGCACAUCCGUUACUAUUGAUGAUGUUGGUUCUGGCAUGGUCCCAAGUGAAAAAUCAGGAAUAAUGAAGGAAAGAGAUGAUGGUUCACUUCAGAAUACUUCUAAUGAAUUACCAAAUAUUAAGUUACCAUCGCAUGAGAAGUCUGGAUAUGAUUCUCAACCAAGCACACCUAUAGCUGUCCCCAUCAAUGAAGCUACACUUCCUAGUGGUUUUAAAGAUAACCGUGCUACUCAUUCUGAAAUAACUCUUGC
rnacentral:lncRNA from 1 species